GCUCAGAUUGAACGCGGCCGGCAUGCCUAACACAUGCAAGUCGAGCGGCAGCGGGAAAGUAGCUUGCUACUUUUGCCGGCGAGCGGCGGACGAUGAGUAAUGCCUGGGAAAUUGCCCAGUCGAGUNGAUAACAGUUGGAAACGACUGCUAAUACCGCAUACGCCCUACGGGGGAAAGCAGGGGACCUUCGGGCCUUGCGCGAUUGGAUAUGCCCAGGUGGGAUUAGCUAGUUGGUGAGGUAAUGGCUCACCAAGGCGACGAUCCCUAGCUGGUCUGAGAGGAUGAUCAGCCACACUGGAACUGAGACACGGUCCAGAUUCAUACGGGAGGCAGCAGUGGGGAAUAUUGCACAAUGGGGGAAACCCUGACGCAGCCAUGCCGCGUGUGUGAAGAAGGCCUUCGGGUUGUAAAGCACUUUCAGCGAGGAGGAAAGGUUGAUGCCUAAUAGGUAUCAACUGUGACGUUACUCGCAGAAGAAGCACCGGCUAACUCCGUGCCAGCAGCCGCGGUAAUACGGAGGGUGCAAGUUUUAAUCGGAAUUACUGGGCGUAAAGCGCACGCAGGCGGUUGGAUAAGUUAGAUGUGAAAGCCCCGGGCUCAACCUGGGAAUUGCAUUUAAAACUGUCCAGGUAGAGUCUUGUAGAGGGGGGUAGAAUUCCAGGUGUAGCGGUGAAAUGCGUAGAGAUCUGGAGGAAUACCGGUGGCGAAGGCGGCCCCCUGGACAAAGACUGACGCUCAGGUGAGAAAGUGUGGGGAGCAAUCAGGAUUAGAUACCCUGGUAGUCCACCCUGUAAAAGAUGUCGAUUUGGAGGCUGUGUCAAUGAGAAGUGGCUUCCGGAGCUAACGCGUAAAUCGACCG
rnacentral:rRNA from 1 species